UCCAGGGGAUUUAUUUCCCAGCAGAUGAGAGGAGUUCAAAGACAGUCUUUGCCUGCACUUGCUGUUUUUCAAUUCCUUGUGGCUCACGGUCAUCAAUAUGCCAAGGCAGCAUAUACUGGGGUAGAACAUCCUGAGCUUCCUAGGUGGUAUUCUGGGAUGGCGUAUUCCCUAGCCUUCACAGCCGCCCUCUGCGGCUCUGUUCAGCUUUCAGGUGGCACAAGUCUGUAAAGGCCCCAGGAGUGACAGGACAGCAGAAAGAACAUUGAAAAUCCACUUAAAAAAAAAGAAAAAAAAAGAAGGCGUGGAUGUUGUUUCUGAUGUAGCAGGGUAUAAAGAUCACCUUUAAACUGGUCAGGGACGAAAUGUUCAGAACCCUAGACACACUCAGGGGGACUUGGAUUCAGCUGAAGAGGGAAGCAGUGUUUCCACUGUAAAAUUGGGACUCUGUCUAAAUUUAUCAUUAGGUAGGCUUUCUGUUGCUUAAUUUUUCCAUUGCCUAAUCUCUCUUCCGUUCUCUGACCUCUUCCUUUCCCCCUCCGUCCUCUGCUGUUCCUUAUCUGGUCUUGUAAUUACCGAGGUCUCUUCUAUUCCAAGUGCUCUGGCUCUCUUCUCAUGUGGCUUCAUUCCCACCGUUUAAUAACAGCUCUCUGCAGUGCUCUGUUCCUUAGAGGAAAGUUGCUGUAAUUAUCAGGAAUGAGGACACGUAAACAGUGAAGCAGAAUGGUCCCUGUGAGCCAGUGCCCAGUUUCCCGUUCUUGUCAUCUUGGGGAAGGCACAGCUCCAAGACUGAAGUUGCAAUCACCCUCUAUACUGACUGCCCCAGAGGCUCUGAGACAAUACAGGAUGGGACUGUAGUCAUCAUUCCAAAGAGAGAAGUCUAGCUGUGGUCUACUUCUAUAGAAUCAUGAAGUCACAAGGGACUAAGAGGUCUCAGAGUUUCCUGAGCCUUAUACGAGUCUCCUUUCCAGCAUCCUUAUUAAGCAGCCAUCCAGCCUCUGUUCAGUCUACCAGCACCCCCCAUUGCUAUCUAUCUUAUCAUAUAAAAAGGAGAAGAGGAGAUGGAAGAGGAGGAGGUGGAGGGAGAGGAGGAGGAGGCAAAAGGAAUGCACCAGAGGAGAAGGCAGAGGAAGAGGAUGAGGAAGAAGAGGAGAGAAGGAAAAAUGGAUUGGAGUGGUGGAUUUGUUGUGCAGGCAUUGAGCCCCAGAGAUUGCCCUGGUGACAAUAAUUUUUUUUUAGUCAGUUAUGAGACAAAGUAAUAUGUUGCCUAUAAACAUUUCUUACCAUCUCCUAUUAAUAAUCAUUUAACUUAAGAAUGGAAAUAAUUAUCUUCAGAGACAGGAGCCAAACUUAUAGUACUUAGUCAAUCAUCAACAUGACUAAUAGCUGUCAAGGUUUGAACUUUAAUUUGUAUAUCCAUAGACAUCCCCCACAGUAUAAAUACUGGAAUUAACUUGUAAUACUAGCAUAUUUUAAUAUGAGCAUUAUUUCAUUAAUUUCUUUAAUCUACCUCUAGCAAAGUAAUAUAUGUAAUUCAUUAUCAAAUAAAAAGGCUGUCACCAAACUAAAAUAAAAUAUACUCUAAAUUCUUUAGGAGCAGUAUAGAUUUUCAGCAAGGUUUCUGGAUCAUGUGUUUUGGUCACCAAAUCCUCUCUGUUGGCUAUAAUUUGAAUUCGGAAUAACUUGCUAAAAGAGAAGUAGCAAGUUCAUCCGUCUUUGGUGUUUUCCUGGUGUUCUGCUCACAGACUGCUCUGUCCACAUGAGGUCACGGCCAUCUCACCCAGAAGAGGCCUUUGCUGAGUCAGGAGGGCAGAGUUCAUCAUUGGUUACAGGUGUGAGAGAAAUGGAAAGAGAAGGGAAACCACCCUUUAAUGCUAAUUAGCCUGUAGGCUAGGCUAGACAUAGUUUAUUUGGCCAAGAGGCUCUCAAUUAGAAAGAAAGAAUGAAAAUCAUUUGUAGUUCAUUUCCUUAUAAUGGCAGUUUACCACAUCAGAUAUGUCAUUUCAAUAUUGAUCGAGACAGUGCAGUAAGAUCAAGAUGUAGUUUUUGAAAGACUUUCUGUUUUCAAGUCUUAUUAGUCACAGUUAUCUGGAAUUUCAGAACAAAUUUUAGGAAAAUCUAGUUGUACUUAAACAAACUCUUAGUAAAACACUAUUUUAGACUGUAUAUACAAGUUAGUAAUGGACUAUCCAAAUGUUUAAAUACUAAUGUUAAGUACUUGAGAC